rnacentral:rRNA from 1 species
GAGUUUGAUCUUGGCUCUGAACGAACGCUGGCGGCAGGCUUAACACAUGCAAGUCGAACGCCCCGCAAGGGGAGUGGCAGACGGGUGAGUAACGCGUGGGAACAUACCCUUUCCUGCGGAAUAGCUCCGGGAAACUGGAAUUAAUACCGCAUACGCCCUACGGGGGAAAGAUUUAUCGGGGAAGGAUUGGCCCGCGUUGGAUUAGCUAGUUGGUGGGGUAAAGGCCUACCAAGGCGACGAUCCAUAGCUGGUCUGAGAGG